UGGGGAAUAUUGCACAAUGGACGGAAGUCUGAUGCAGCAACGCCGCUUGCGGGAUGACGGCUUUCGGGUUCUAAACCGCUUUUUCUCAUGUCGAAGUUUUUUGACGGUAGUGGGGGAAGAAGCACCGGCUAACUACGUGCCAGCAGCCGCGGUGAUACUUAGGGUGCGAGCGUUGUCCGGAAUUAUUGGGCGUAAAGAGCUUGUAGGCGGUUUGUCGCGUCGAUAGUGCAAACUCAGUGCUUAACGCUGAGCCUGCUGUUGAUACGGGCAGAAUAGAGGAAGGUAGGGGAGAAUGGAAUUCCCGGUGGAGCGGUGGAAUGCGCAGAUAUCGGGAGGAACACCGGUGGCGAAGGCGGUUCUCUGGGCCUUUACUGAAGCUGAGAAGCGAAAGCGUGGGGAGCGAACAGG
rnacentral:rRNA from 1 species